AGAUACCUUAAAGAACAUGGAUUGAAUAAUGAAGUUAUCCAAAUGCAAAUGGAUCAUAUCAGACUCAAAUUUGAGCAAAAACAGGAUUUAAUCAGAAGUUAUGGAAAACACAUCCAGUCAUGAUAGAGUUGUUCUGCCAAAUGGUUCAACACAUAGAGACCACUGUGACCACUACAUCCCGCCUGCAGGAGAAAUUGCAAUCUCUUGGCAAGGAAUGUAUUCUGGCUUCAAAGUUGGAUGUGACUAAGGCUGAUAAUGAGAGCUAUGGUCUUAAGGACCUGGUUAAAUCCAGUGGCUCUCAUCUGGAGAGAGUUGUUGGUCAACCUAAGAAGGUAACCAUGGACCUGAGUAAGG